CCUACGGGGUGCUGCAGUGGGGAAUAUUGCACAAUGGGCGCAAGCCUGAUGCAGCCAUGCCGCGUGUGUGAAGAAGGCCUUCGGGUUGUAAAGCACUUUCAGCGGGGAGGAAGGCGGUGAGGUUAAUAACCUCAUCGAUUGACGUUACCCGCAGAAGAAGCACCGGCUAGCUCCGUGCCAGCAGCCGCGGUAAUACGGAGGGUGCAAGCGUUAAUCGGAAUUACUGGGCGUAAAGCGCACGCAGGCGGUCUGUCAAGUCGGAUGCGAAAUCCCCGGGCUCAACCUGGGAACUGCAUUCGAAACUGGCAGGCUAGAGUCUUGUAGAGGGGGGUAGAAUUCCAGGUGUAGCGGUGAAAUGCGUAGAGAUCUGGAGGAAUACCGGUGGCGAAGGCGGCCCCCUGGACAAAGACUGACGCUCAGGUGCGAAAGCGUGGGGAGCAAACAGGAUUAGAUACCCGUGUAGUC
rnacentral:rRNA from 1 species